rfam:Brachypodium distachyon strain Bd21 chromosome 2, whole genome shotgun sequence.
AAUGUACUCCCUCCGUCCCAUAUUAAGUGACUUUCUAUUACAUGUAUCUAGACGCUUUUUGAGCAUAGAUACAAUCGUAUUUGGGCAAAUUUGAGUCACUUAAUAUGGGACGGAGGGAGUACAAA